ensembl:lncRNA
GCCAGGAAAUGACUGCUUCCAGCUGAGGCCCUCCUCAGCAUAAAAGGGCCUAUCCCCCUUGCUUUAAUUUGGGACAUAUGUCUAGAGAACCAAACCAGCUCCGAGGCUCUGAGAGGAGUGGUUGAGACCUCUGUUGUAGAUGCAUCAUAGUUCAAUUUCUCCCUGUUCCCAGUCCUGGCUCCUCUCUCUUAUAGGUACUGCUCCCGGAGACAUGCCAAAUUGCAAAUUAACAUUUCUGGAGAAGGGAAAGGCUAUCCACUCCAGUAUUCUGUCCUGGAGAAUUCCAUGGUCACAGUCCAUGGGGUUGCAAAGAGUCGAACACGACUGAGCAAAUUUCACUUUCAUCUCUGUAUCUGUGUCCCCUAUGACAACCACUAUUAACAUGUUCCAUGUUGAUGUCUAGGGAGUUACCAUUUCAAGCCUGGCUCAUUCAGGCACUGACUCAUGGCUGUUCCUCAGGCAUAUCAUUUAAGAUCCGUGGUCUCAUUUUAAGCCAGCCAGGAAAUUGGGCCCAAACUCCAGACUGGAGACCUUUGAAAAUCAUGUUAAACCGUAUUAAUUCAAUUUCUGUGACUUUGGUUGUAUUUCAUGCUCUAUUUUAAACUGUCACUUUUUAAUCUUCCAGAUUUUCAUUUUUUAUUGAAAGAUGAAUGAUGCACUAGAAUCUUGAUUAUAUCAGCUGAACUGAAUAUGUGAAAUGAAAGUCAUGCAAUGUUGAAAACGAUGACAACCAAAUAAAAUUUCCCAGGAUACAAAAAAAGUGAAAUAAUGAAGCCUGAGUUUUGCCUCAUGGUCACUUUGCUGCACUAGUCAGUGAUGAAGAUAAAUGUGGUCUGAAACUGCGUCCAUGAUAUGUAUUCAGUCAACACACCCUACUAUAGAGAAAGCACAUUUAUAAAGUAUAUACCACCCUGGGCAUUUGGAUGGUUGGCAUGGCAGCAGAAUUUCCCUGAUACUAGCUAUGUGUUUAGUCACUCAGUCACGUCCAACAUAAGAUAGCUUAAAAAAUUCACUCAAGCCUCUAGCAUCUACAGCUAAGGUUUAAAGAAAUUGAUUUGUAUUACACGCUUU